rnacentral:rRNA from 1 species
UCCUGGCUCAGGAUAAACGCUGGCGGCGCACAUAAGACAUGCAAGUCGAACGGACUUAACCAUUAGUUUACUAUUGGAGCGGUUAGUGGCGGACUGGUGAGUAACACGUAAGCAACCUGCCUAUCAGAGGGGAACAACAGUUAGAAAUGACUGCUAAUACCGCAUAUGCCUUGAGUAUCGCAUGGUACAAGAGGGAAAGGAGCAAUCCGCUGAUAGAUGGGCUUGCGUCUGAUUAGAUAGUUGGUGGGGUAACGGCCUACCAAGUCAACGAUCAGUAGCCGGACUGAGAGGUUGAACGGCCACAUUGGGACUGAGAUACGGCCCAGACUCCUACGGGAGGCAGCAGUCGGGAAUAUUGCGCAAUGGAGGAAACUCUGACGCAGUGACGCCGCGUGCAGGAAGAAGGUUUUCGGAUUGUAAACUGCUUUAGACAGGGAAGAUAAUGACAGUACCUGUAGAAUAAGCUCCGGCUAACUACGUG